UUGAGCAGAAAGCGCGGAGAGACAAGUCGAAAAGAAAAGACGGAAGAGCGCUGAUGAGGAAAAGCAGAAAGAAAGACUUUAACUGAGCUUGAAAUGAAACAAGAGCUAGCGAAUCUCUGCUGGACAGACUGCAUUGUAGAGUCUGACAGCAGCUGGAAGAUAAGACCUCUGAAAUUUCUCCUCGCAUGCUGUUGUUGCAGCAGCGUGUCACUGUAGGAGCUGCUCAGUGCUGCUAGGAUGACCUGCAUGUGGUGGGAGGCAAGAGGAAAAAAAAGAAAAAAGUGGAGGUGAGGGUUGAAUAAAAGGAUUGAAAAAUGCACAAUGUAUCGCCAACUGCUGCACCUGUAAGACAAAAACAAAAGCAAACAUGCAUCUCCUAGAGGCCAACCAUCCUGGUACAAGUCAAGAACUGAGUCCCAGGUGCCCAAGAACCACCUGGUAUCCAGAAAGUGGGGAGAAGCGUCCAGCCAGGAGUGCGGACUGUGUCCAGGGCCAAGCCACAGCAAGCCCCACAAACACAAAUUAUUCGCUCACUCACUCUCACCCACCCAUUAGUGACACACAGAAAACAUAAAGACACAGUGGGAGCUGGUAUGCAAUAGCAAUGACAGCUUAGCCACCAUUUUUCCAGUCACUUCAUGCUUCUGCUGCCUCAACCAUAACACAGGUCUACAAGAUCAGUCUGUUCAGUUUUUUUUCUGUCCUCAGUGGAGCUCUUGCUGGCCCAGCAGAACACACCAUAAAAGAUGACUGAUGUCACUCCAAAGUCAUAGAAGGUCUUCAGGAACUCCAAAAUAAUUGAAUCUGUGUAGCAGAUACAGCUGCUCUGUUAUUUCUGGGACAGAGCAGCUUUCUUCUGUGUAUAUUGUGAAUGGAGUCAGGACUCUUCCCUGUAAGUUGCCUAUGCUGCAGAAUACCCAUUAAGACACAUAAUUGUGGGUCUUUAUGUACUGUAGUUGCUAAGAUAGUCCAGGAUCCGUGUGGUGAGGUGAUGGUCCACACCUGUGUAAUCCACCUUGUCCUUCAGGAUUGUGGGUAUAAUUGUGUUGAAAGCAUUGGAGAAAUCAAAGCACAUGAUUCUCACAGUGCUCCACACACUUUCCAGGUGAGAUCGAUGUAAGAGCUGGAUGACAGCAUCAUCUACCCCAAUGUUGGGCUGAUAGGCAAACUGGACUGAGCUCACCUGGGGCCGAAGAUGAGCAAGGACCAGCCAUCCAGGGUCUCCAUCAGAUGUGAUGUCAGAGCCACCGGCCUGCAGCUGUUGUUCAUUUACAUCUGCCUAACUGAUCAUUUAUCCUCAGCACACUUUGAAAAGUGUGUUUAUGUUCCCUUGCCUGAAACUGGACAAUGUGUAAAAUCUGAAUUCAAACAAAGGUUGGGGAAACCUGCACUGAGCUGAGACAGAAAAAGUCACUUGGAUGAGUGACGUAGCGUUCCUCCUACUGAAAACGCAACGUCCAGAAGAACAAAAUUAACUUUUCGGGACAGGUCCCCAGAUGUUUUCUCCUCUCAGAAUCCUCCUCUGCUCUGAAUUCACAGAUCAUAUCUGUUUUAUCUUACAUACAAUCAUGUGGAGAAGAGUGUUUUCAUAGAAAUCUAUAGCAGCAGUAGUGUCACCAAAUUGUUUCUGUAUGACUCUGUCUGUCACACGGUUGUGCAGUACCUUUGGCUGAUGUUUCUUUACAUUGUUUGGUCAGUUCAUUGAAGUUUGUGGUAUUUGUUUAUGUACAGCUCUCUCAAGCUCCCAGCACUUAUUUUCAGGUUGAGGUCUGGACUGUGAACGGGCCAUUACAACAACUUGAUUCUUUUGUUCAGUCAUUCUGUUGUAGCUUUGCUGAUGUGCUUGGGAUCAUGACCCAAACUCACUUUUGACUCUACAGUACUUGGUAUACAGGGGAGUUCAUAGAAAACUCAAUGACUGCAAGGGGCCCAGGUUCUGUAGCUGCAAAACAAGCUCAAAUCAUCACCCCUUCACCACUGUGCUGACAGCUGGUAUGAGGUGUUUGUGCUGGUAUGCUUUGCAACUUUGCUACCAAACUUGCAGCCAUGCUGUCAUGCUCUUUUUAGAGAGAAGAGACUUUCUCCUUGCAACCCUUCCAAACAAGCCACACUUA